CCACAGGGGAACUGGCCUCACUUUGUCUAGGCAAAGUGGGGUAAUCAUUUCUCCAGUGUCCUGCUUGUCCAGUUUGGACUGGGUCCUGGCAGCAGGCAAGGCAUUGGGGUAAUCUUGCCCAGUGGUUAGCACUACCACAAUCAAGGUGGAGUCACAGUCAUGCCCCAUUAUAUUUUUGGAGACAUUGGUUUGGGGGGGGGUCACUGUAGGAGCUGGUGUCUCUGUCUGACAUAGUAAGCAUAUAUUUUUUAAAUAUCAUACUGUAGGAUGAUGCCAUUAUGCAGCAAGGCAGGUCCAGGAUAAGGCAAAGCCUAUCAUUGGAUGAGAAGGAAGGGUAGGCGGGAAAAAGUCUAGGAAGGAGAGAUGGAAAGGAGAAGUGAGAGAAUCAAGAUGGAGACGACGGAGCGAGAUGAUCCAGAUCCAGACAUAGGAGCAUCCGGCCCUUGCAUUCUUCGAUACCACCACACGAUGGCACCAGACUCCUGCUAAUCGCGUAACUGGCCUAGUCCUUUAAGCGUUCCUUAAAGCGCUGGGUCUCAGGUUAAAAGAAUUGAAGAGAGUGAGGCAGGAGCAUGUGAGGCUAAUUUCUUCCCCAAGCCCCAUCAUUUCCCACACCUGUAUGUGUUCACAGGUCUCUGUAAGUAAUUUGGCUUUUAUCUAUUUCAAUACAAUGCAUUUUUUUGCACGUGUAAGGUGAACUAAAAAGGGGUCUAACUAAGUUAUUACUCUAACAAGUUAUGGCUUAAGCUCGGGGUAGGUAGCUCAGGGGCAGAGUGCAUGUGUUCACUACCCAACAAGAAAAACACAAGAGCAUCAAAAUAAAAAUUGUAUUUAUUUAUUUAUACAAUCUUUCUAUUAGUUCUUUAUGAGUUUCCCAUCAGUACCACUUAUCUCCCCAUCUGCUCACAUCCACCCUUGAGGCCCUUCACCAAAAUAACACACAGCAGCAGCAGCAGCAGCAGCAGCAGCAGCAGCAGCAGCAGCAGCAGCAGCAGCAGCAGCAGCAACAACAACAACAACACAAAGCAUAGAAAACAUCUCAUCGUGGAG
ensembl:lncRNA